CAGAUCAAGUUAAAAAAAAUAAAAAAAAAAGAAAAAAAACACAGUUGCAAAAUGUAUCUGCUCAAUCUGAUUUAAGUACAUCAAUAGUUUGUAACA